rnacentral:tRNA from 1 species
UGUGGCUUAGCUCAAUGGUGGAGUUUUACGCUGAUACCGUAAAGGAUGAUGGUUCGAAUCCAUCAGUCACAA